UACGUAGGGUGCGAGCGUUAAUCGGAAUUACUGGGCGUAAAGCGUGCGCAGGCGGUUCGUUAAGUCAGAUGUGAAAGCCCCGGGCUCAACCUGGGAACUGCAUUUGAAACUGGCGGGCUUGAAUUCGGGAGAGGGAUGCAGAAUUCCAGGUGUAGCGGUGAAAUGCGUAGAUAUCUGGAGGAAUACCGGUGGCGAAGGCGGCAUCCUGGACCGACAUUGACGCUGAGGAGCGAAAGCUAGGGGAGCAAACGGG
rnacentral:rRNA from 1 species